CAUUAUAUAAGAGAGAGUUGAGGCGCUAAGCAGCCUCCUCGCCGUCAACAUGCCUGCUUCAGCAAUGGGAUUUUGUUCAUUUCUUAUCAUCUAAGCUGUGUCAAUUUUUGCGUACACACAAUGAUUGCACGUGUAUAUCCAGAGAUUUCAUCAUCGCUCUCUUGGUUGUGCCAAUUUCAUCCAUCGGCAUAGAUAUCACUAUUCACAGAUUUAGCUGUCUAGCUUCUGUUGUUGAGAGUUGGGUACCUCAUAAUUGUCACUCUUGGCUUUCACUGUGGGAUUUAUAGGUGUUGUUGAAUAAAACUUUUGAGUUUGGAACUAAGGUUAGUUGUUAAAAGGGGAAUCUUUAGCAGUUCAAUUGGUUGGCUAGUUAUUUGAGCUUUCACCUUGUUACUGAUGGCUGUCCAAAACUCACGAAGCUGAAUAUCAGCGGGUGACGAAACCUAAGAGCCUUAAACUUUUGUGGGUGUAUUAAAGCUGCAAUUGAUAAGGCAUUGAAGGCUAUUGGUUAUUACUGUCACCGAAUGCACACUGCAUGUAAAUCUAGGUUGGUGUGAUAAAGUUGGUGAUGAAGGGGUAAUGCGUUUGGCCUAUGGGUGUCCUGAUCUCAGAGCCCUUGAUCUGUGUGGUUGUCUCCUUAUAACAGUCUUUGGUAAAGAAAUUCCCAACGUCGAAGCUUCCGACUCGACAGUCUCUGUGAAUUCUCCUCGGGGAUUUGAAAGAAUUGUGAUUGGAGGAUGUUGAUGAUGGUGAUUCAAAUUUGAAUUUUGAUUUAGAGGAUUUGAGAGAAUUGUGAUGGAAAGAUGUUAAUAAUGGUGAUUCAAAAUUUGAAUUAUGAAUUUAUUGCUAAUUUUCAGGAAUUCAAGAAACAUAUUUCAAUCAAAAUCCCAUUAAUUUCUCUGUCAUUUAAUCUCUUCCCAUUACUUUCCUUUUUUAUAGGCAAUUAAUUUGCUAGUUAUGUAUCUGAAAUGUAUCUGGAUGGGAUUUGGUGUAAUUAUGAAAAAAGUUGGAAGUGAGUGUAAUUAGGUAGCAAACUAUUAGAAUUUAUGUUAUUUUCCCUAAAAAUUUUAUUGUGGGAGUUUAUCCAUGUAAAAGACAGUUUCAACUAAAAUAUCAAAAUAAGAAGACAUAGAUGAAAACCGUAAGACAUGCUUAAGAUUUGAAAGACUGGAGUUUAACUGAAAAAUGCCCCAAAAAGAUGCUUAAAUAGAGAAUGCAUGCAGCUACUCUAAUUUUUUUUUUUAAAAAAUAAAUAAAUUUGAAUCUUUAUUUUUAUCUAAAGAAUCACAUGUUUAUCUUAACUCAAAUUCUAAAAAUAAACAUUAAAUUAAAUAGUAUAACUACAAAUGUUAAACAUAACCAUUUGAAUUUUAAAAUUAAACUAUUUUUCACUUUAAUGGCCUACUAGUUUUUAUAUAACAAAAAAGAAGUAAAAAAAUAUGCUUUAAUUUUUCUUACGUAAAGAAUUGUUUUAACUUGCCCAUGUGGCAGUAUUUUUUUUCUUUUAAAAAAAAAUAAAUUUGAAACUUUGCCUUUAUGUAAAGAAUCACAUGUUUAUCUUAAUUCAAACUAAAAAUUGAACGUUAAAUUAGAUUAAAUAAUAUAAAUGUAAGGAAUCACAUGUUUCUUUUAACUCAAAUUUAAAAAAUAAGCAUUAAAUUAAAUUAAGUAGUAUCAAUGUCAAUUUUAUAUAUAACCAUUUGAAUUUUAAAAUUAAGUUUAUUUUUAAGUUUAAUGAUCUACUAUUUGUUUAUAUAAAAAAAAGAUGUAAAGGGACAUGAUUUAAUUUUUCUUACAUAAAAAAAGUGUUUUAACUUGCCCAUGUGGCAUUUUUUUUUUUAAAAGUUGAAUCUUUAUCUUUAUCUAAAGAAUCACAUGUUACAUGAUUGAAUCAUCAUGGUGUUUUGGGAUACAUGAUUGUUGAUGGAUAUUCAUGAAGUUGGAAGUGAACAAGGGGCUAAAGAGUUAUACGUGUAUGAUAUUCAGGGGGUGCAUUAACGUAGAUAGGAGAGAAGGCGCAACAUACAGGAUCGUGAAGAAGGAACAAGCCAUUAAUCUGUAGGUACUAUGUAGUUUUGAUGAUUGACAAACUGACACAUGAAUGAAAUAUGUUACUUGAGAUGGUCCACGCAUAGGAAAGCAGAUUUCCAGUUUCACUGAUAGAUGCAGACAAGAUUGCUUAAAGACAGGAAUGAAUAAGCAAGCCUAAUUCUGAUAUACACAAGGUACUGAUCAUGUGGGGAAUAUAACAAGUUGUAUUUGAUUCAAACACUUAAUGAUAAGGGAAAGUAAGUUGAGUUGAAAAAAGAGUUCUACGUGAAGAAAGAGUUUCACUUCUGAGUAUAUCCUGAAGAGUCCUAUGUGUAAGAGGAGAAAGAUUCUGAUAAACAAACAUGCUCUAAUUUAAAGAGUUGGAGUUUUACUACAACACUAAAGAGACAAAAGUUGGAAUGAAGAAGGAGUCUCACUUGAAGUAGAACUCUAUGCAAUGAGAGUUCUGAUUAAAGGAGGAGUUUAAAAUAAAGAAUAACUCUUUGAAGAGCUGUGCUUAAAUAGAAGAUGCAUCAGUCAGAAUAAAUUACGCACUUACAAAGUAGAAAAACACAAUCGACAGCUCGACUUCACAAAGUGCUACUCAAUCACUGAAGAAACACAUUGAAGAACCUGGUCCUAAGUAUAGAAUCUAGCUAAGAGUUUUACAGUUGAUUAUUAGAGUUGUUCAUUGUGUUUGAACUAUUGAUGUAAUAUUAGUUUCAGUGAGUUAUAAACUGAACUAGGAGCUAGUUUUCGAGUUGGGGAAAACUCAAAAACUUUGGGAACGCAUACCUUGGGAGGUGUGUGUAUAGUUAGGAAGUAGAGUUUAUAAUUCCUAGUUGUUGUGUUAAAGUAAUUAAAGUUUAUAAUUCUCAUUUGUUGGUUGUAAGAGUUUUGUAAUCAGUCGUUAUUGAGGCUCAGAGUUAUUUAGUGAAGUUGGGGUAAAAUCCUGUAGAGGUGUAGGUCGUAAUUUUUUACACCUUUUGAGUCGGGUGUUUUCCAUGUAAAAGUCGUUAUUUUCUUUACUUUUUGGUUUGCUGCUUCCCUGGAACACGUCAGGCAACUCAUUCCAUCGAUAGACAAUAGUUAGGUAAAAAUAAGAUAAUUAGUAGGGCACGAAUUCUUAAUAAGUGGUAUCAUAACGGGUUAUCUUGUUAAGGCUCACACCUUAAGAUAAGAUCAAAGAUGAAUUCUGCUCCACCUAUUGGCUACUGCGAAGGACAAGACAUCAAUAGGCCUCCAUUUUUCAAUGGACAGUACUACUCAGGAUGAAAAAAAAGGAUGAAAGAUUUUCUUCAGGAUGUUGACUACGAACUCUGUAGUAGAAUUAUUGAUGGACCUCAAUACCCCAUGAAGAAGGAUGCUGAAAACAUGGAUCUAUUAAAAGACAAGAGUAAGCAUGAUAAUGCCGACUUUAAGAUGCUUGGAAAGAAUGUAAAAGCUAAGUAUAUUCUUAUUCACAGACUUAGACCAGAUGAAUAUAACAGGAUCUCAGGUUGCACCACUGCAAAACAAAUUUGGGAGACUCUUGUGAACGUAUAUGAGAAGAACAUGGAUACCUUAGAGAAAAAUAAAGGAACUAAGGAUAAGUCAAUAGCACUAAAAGAGUCUGACAGCAUAGAAUCAGAUAUAGAUAAUAGAAAGCUUACCAAGAAUUUCAAAAGGUAUUUUAAGAAAUGAAAACACCAGAACAAGAGAGGAACGAGUAGUAGGUGUUAUUCUAACUAUAAGUCUCAAACUGGUUAUUUCAAGUAUGAAGAUACAGAUCAUAUGAUCAGGGAUUUUCCAUUGUAGGAAAUUGAGCGAAAAAAUAUAAGAGCUGAAAAAGAGUUGAAGCUAAAAGAGAAAUCUUUACUUCGAAAAGAAGGAAUCAUUUGCUAUGAUGGCUGCAUGGGGAUCAAGCUCAGAAGAAUCUAAUGAUGAUAGAGUUGAUGAAAGUGCACUUAUGGCUAUAGGUGACUCAGACAUGGAAGAAAAGGAAAUAAAAUCUAAGGUAAGUCUACUUGAUCUUAAAGAUAAAUUACAUCUUUGUUCUAAGAAAAGACUUAUUCCCUUAAUGAAUGCACUGAUUGAUGAUUUUCACGAGCUCACAUCUGAAAGGGAUCAGUUAUUCAAUGUUUUUGCAGGUCUAAAGUUUGAUUACAUUAAUCUUGAGACUUGUAAGAAUGUCACUGAUAUAGAAAACUUCACCCUAAAGGAACAGGUCAGUCAACUUGGUUCAUCAAACCUAGAUCUAAAAUCAAAAAUAUUAAAGUUGUCAAUUACUGAAAAAAGAAAAAAGGAGCCUUGAGUGAAAAUCAUCAAAGAAUUGAGUCUGAACUUAAACAAAGAAAAGAUGAAUUGUUUUAUCAAAUAAAAAAGGUUAGAAAGCAAACUCGAGAAAAUUCUAGGAUAAAACUUGAUCUUGAAAGAGCUAACCGAUAGACCAAGUCAUCUAGAAUUGUUAAUCAUCUAUGUAGUAGGACUCAAAAUGAGAGGGUUGCAUAGGUUUUCACAAAGAAACUAUUUCCUAUAAAGAUUUAUGUUAUAUUUGUGGAAAACUAGGACAGCCAACCACUGAAUGUCCUUUUGCUGCCAAAAGCAGAUCCAGCAGUCUAAAUCUAAAAAAUAAACUAUCUCAGACCAAGAAAAGGAUAACUAAACCUGGUCAGACAAAUAGGUCACGUAACUUGUUGCCUGCAUAGGCUAGAAGAAAUCUGAUUCAAUUAUUUACUCAUAAAAAAGGCCCCAAGCUUUUCUGGGUGCCUAAAGUUAACCCCUAAUUUGUUUUGCAGGUGAGAGUAAAAGGAGGCAAGAAAAAUUUGUACAUGAAUAAAGCUUGCUCAAGGCAUAAGACUAGAAGAAAAUAAAUUUCUUUCACUUACCACAUUUAAAAGGUGAAUGGAUCAUUUGAAAGAUGGCCAGAUUUGUAGUGCUCGUGUAAGGGGGAAGUAAGGGAGAUCUAAAAAAAAAUAAUGAUCUAGUGCUUGAACUUGGUUCGUAUGAAUCUUUGUGGACUAAUGUAAGAAGCAGAGAAGUUAAGAGAAUGACAGUGAAACUGCUGAGCAUGCACAAAAACAUGUUGUACUACUUAUUCUAUAACUGAGGGCAUAUCGACAGAGGGAACAACAAAUCAAUGACUUGGGACUAUGGUAUCCAAAGGAAACUAAUUUCACUCUUAAGGGCUAUAAAAAUGUUGACUAUGUGGGUUACUUAAUUGACUGGAGAAGCACCAAAGGCACUACGUAGAGAGAAUUUU